AUGCACAUCGGGGCUGCAUCAUGGGCAACCGUGGGGAUCUCCUGGGCCUUGGUGGUGGAGCCAGAGACGUCCGGGACCGGCGCCGACGCGUUGGUUGUGCUCUCCGGUGAAGUUGUUGCUGAUGGUGGGUUGUGGACGACGGCGGGUGAACUGGUGGUCCAACUGACGUCAAGGGCGUUCAGUUUCUCGGCGAGGGAACCUGGCGGCGUUGGUGUAGGCGUCGAGCCUGGCGCCGAGCCGCUCGAGAUACUCCUGGAGGAACGGAUCCAUGGUCUGGUGGUGGGGGAAAAAAUGGGGGAAGAAUUUGGGGAAGGGUGGUGCCUGGCUCUGUAUACCAGAUGUUAG
rnacentral:rRNA from 1 species